rnacentral:tRNA from 1 species
UAUAAUACAUCUUUCAUAGUGGUCAGUAUCCCCGCCUGUCACGCGGGUGACCGGGGUUCAAUUCCCCGCCGGGGAGAG